UUUACACUGCUGGAGCUAUAUCACAGAGAACAAUAAAUAAAAAAAACCCCAAAGUGACAGCCUUGGAUGAAAAGAUGAGAUCCAAAAUAAAUCAUAAAACAGGCCAGAAAAGACUCACAGCUCAAACAUUUUUAUGUUGAAAAAUAAACUUUAAAAACACUCAAAGUAAUCUGAGAGAAACAUAAAAGUAAAAUAUAAGUUUUCCUCUCCUGCUGCUUCGUUUUGCAGUAGUAGUUUUUAUUUCAGUUCGUCCGGCUGCUAAAGGUUCCCCAAUCAAACGUCACACUGUUCUUGGUGCCAUGAUUGGCAAAUAAAUCAUAACUUUGUAACCAGUUGAAAGACAAAACACAAAAGAAAACUUAGAAUCCCAACAGGAGAAAAUAUUCUUCAUUAUUUUAAGAAGCCUGACACACCAUUGGCCCAAACCUUCCAGUAUAAAAGUUCCAAGAAAAACACAAAAGUACAGAUCUUAGUAGUCACAGAAGAGUAGUCAGUCUAUAAGGAUUAUAUUUAUAAAUAAAAAUAAAAACUAUACAGUGAACAAACUGAUAUGUUAAAAAUCAGUAAAAUGUCUUGAGAAGCAGUUUUUCACCCUGAUGGGAUAAAACUCAAACGUUCUCUUUUUGUUCUACUGUCUUUGCUUCUUAAAGUAAAAAUUGUGUCUGAAUUCAGAAACCUUAAAUUUGACACAUCACUUAAGAGUGUGGAAAGCCUCUGGUGCAAAAAUUAAUAAACACUAUUUCACAGGAAAGAAUAAAUAGUGACACUCAGAAAAUGCUUUGAGUAUUAAGGCAGUACUAAGGAAAAAAUAAAAUUGUGAUAAAGUCAAAAUGAGAAUAAAGUCAUUAAGAGAAUAAUGUCAAAAUGAGAAUAAAGUCGUAAUAUUCUCAUAAUACUAUCAUUUUAUUGUGUUAUUUCAACUUUAUUCAUGUAAUUUCAUGACUUUCUUUUUCUUUUUAAAAAGUUAUUUACGCUCCCCUUGAACGUCUAAAUAGGUCCGACCUUAUUUAACGUUUUAAAGAGUCAUUGCCUUCAUGCUUUUGUUUUUGAUAAGCCGGCCUUGUGGAACCCAGCAGCCACUAGAGGGCAGCUCUGAGUUAGCUAACCGGAGAAUAGCAAACAUGGCGACCGUUGAUGAUGAAGAAUCUCGGAAAAUGAGAUAAAAAAAAGAGGCACUACGGCAGAUGGAGGCGGUCCUUCGGCUAGAGACAUAACAAUUAGCUUUAAUUACGUGUAUGUGUGCGGCCAUUAAACUGCUCGGAGUUUCUGUCGUCGUCGUCUUCGUUGUUCCCUUCACCGAUUCCAGUAUUUCACAGGUAAACAUGCAUUUCUCACCCAGAAACAUGAGGACCAGGUAGAGCUGCAGCGUGUAGGAGAAACUUAACGAGUGUCCGAGCGCGGAGGGCAGCGGGACGCUGAACAGACGCGUCUCGUCAAAGAUGGGCAGGGACUGGAUCACAGCCACCGCUGCAAACAACAACAAACUCUAAACGACCAAAACCCACCGCUGACGGCGGCUUCUACAGGUCAGAGGUCACAAACCUUCAGCUACUACCCCCAGCGGGUACAGAGGGAUCCACAGGCUGUACCUGAGCCACGUCAGCAGCUUCCAGUCCGUGCCGAUGCAGGCCAGCAUGUAGAACGGAUAUCUGACACGGAAAGAGCUGCUGCUGAGACACACGACCAGCUGAGCAACCAGAACCCGGAUCGGUCCGAACUCACCUGAAGAUCUCGAUGGAGCUCCACAGGUAGAAGACAAAGAACACCACGGCCUUGUUCUGCAUCUCGUCCAGGCAGCCGAAGACGACGAACAAAAUGACGUUCCUCCCCGCCACCUAAAGAAGACCAAAUAUAAAAAUAAAAAUGAAUGCAGGGAAACUGGAGAUCAGGAAACACUUUAAGGAGCUUCAACUAAAGCAGAGGCUCCAGAGAAUCGUUUCAGCAGCAAUCACAACCUUUAACCUUCUGAGUUGUUCGUCUGGUUCUUGCCUUGGCCUGGAGCUCCAUCUCGGCAUCCGACUCAUCCAACCAGCGGUCGAAGUCCGGAGCCAGAAACAGCGGCUUCUUCUCCCGCAGCGUCAGCCGCUCCCACCAGCGCUCGACCCGCUUCCGGAUCUUAAUGUCCACCUGGCGCUGCGUCGACUUUUGGUGGAUCUACAGCAAACCGAAAGGACCAAAAGUUUCAGCUCUCUGGGAAACAAAUGCAGGGCAGCUUAAAUAGAAUAAAACAUCUCUAUGUAGAAUAAAACAUAUGAAGCAGUAAAUAAUGAUUUUUAUAAAGUCAUAUAUAGAAAGGGUUCAUACACUUUAAACCGAAAAACUAACUAAACUUAACUAAAUUUACAAAUAAAAACCAUACAAAUGAAGUAAAAAGAGUUUCAAUUUACCAUGAUGACAUAAUUUAUUACUAUUAUUAACAAUGAAUUGUGACAGUAUUCUAGAUCCCCCAGGAGGGGCGAGGUAAAAUAAAAUAGAACAAAAUGUUAUGUUUUGAAACGUUUCUCACCAACACCCUGCAAACCUGACCGGAACGAGACAGUUACAGAAAAAUCUCCACAAAGUUUUCUUCCUAAUUUUUCUGGAAUUGAACAAGUGGAAAUAAUUUUUAUGAUUCUAAAACAAGAGAAAUUUGGUCUGAUUUAAUUCCAGACAAGGAGGUAAAAAAAAGAGUGCACAUGUCCUUUUAUUAUCCUUAAAAAGAACAUUUCUUGAAAAUAUAAAUUGACAUAAUUUUGGUAUCUAUUCUGAUAUAAAUAAAAAGUCAAAACCAAAAUAAAUGAGCAACAAAGUAUCAGCACCUCUGGUUUUACUGGUUCCAGGAACUCCAGGCUGAACUCAUACUGGUUGUCUCCUUUAGCUCCAUGACCCUGAGCUGUGGAGCAGAAACUAAAUUUUA